rnacentral:rRNA from 1 species
AUUGAACGCUGGCGGCAGGCCUAACACAUGCAAGUCGAGCGAGCGGCGGACGGGUGAGUAAUGUCUGGGAAACUGCCUGAUGGAGGGGGAUAACUACUGGAAACGGUAGCUAAUACCGCAUACCAUCAGAUGUGCCCAGAUGGGAUUAGCUAGUUGGUGGGGUAACGGCUCACCUAGGCGACGAUCCCUAGCUGGUCUGAGAGGAUGACCAGGCACAAUGGAAAUGGGAAAAGGACCAAGCUCCUACGGGGGGCAGGCGGGGGGAAUAUUGCACAAUGGGCGCAAGCCUGAUGCAGCCAUGCCGCGUGUGUGAAGAAGGCCUUCGGGUUGUAAAGCACUUUCAGCGGGGAGGCGUUACCCGCAGAAGAAGCACCGGCUAACUCCGUGCCAGCAGCCGCGGUAAUUC